GAAACUCUGUCUCAAAAAAGGAAAAGAAAAGAAAUUAUCAAACUGCUUUUCACAAUGGCUGAACUAAUUUGUAUUCCCACCAACAGUAUAUAUAUGUUUCGAAGAGAAAAGGGAAUUCUUAAACAUCAUUGUUGGGAAUUUAACUUGGUACAGUCAUUUUGGGAAAUAAUAUGAAGGUUCCUCAAAAACUAGAAAUAGUAUUACUGUAUGAUCCAGCAGUACCACUUCUGGGUAUGUACCCUAGUGGAAUGAAAUUGAUCUGUCAAAAGACAUCUCACAUUUUUAUUUCAAUCUUUUAAAAUAUAUUAAGACUUAUUUUGUGGCCUAACAUAUAAUCUAUCCUGAAGAAUGUCUUGUGUUUGAAAAUAAUGCGUAUUACUUUGCUGUUGGAUGAAAUAUUCUACAUAUGUCCAUUAGGUCUAUUUGGUCUAAAGUGUAGUUUAAAGCUGACAUUUUUAAACAGAUGUUCUGUCUGCAUAGUCUAUUCAUUUCUGAAAGUAGGGUAUGUAAAUCCCUUACUAUUAUUGUAAUAUAGUGUAUCUCCCCCUCAAGUCAACUAAUAUUUGCCUUUUAUAUUUAGAAGCUCUAAUAUUGGAUGCAUAUAUAUUUACAAUUGUUAGUUUUUUGAUGAACUGACCUCUUUGUCGUGAUAUGAUGACCUUCUUUAUAUCAUUUUACAGUUUUUGACUUCAAGUCUGUCUUCUGUGAUAGGAGUAUAGCUCUCUGUGCUCCCUCUUUUAGUUUCUAAUUGCAUGGAAUAUCUUUCCAACUAAAGUAUAUACAAUUGUAAGGCCUUUUUGCUAGCAGAAUUUACUUUGAUAAAAUUAUUUACACUAGUGAUGUUAUAUUACAUAUUCUGUUAGCACUCCAAAAUACCCAGAGGUAGUUUGUAACAUACUAACACAAUUGUUAAUAAAAACCAAUAGCAUAUAUGCAUAUAAAAUAUUUCACUCUUUCCUGCUUGUUCUUCAGAUAAUAAGUUUAAAGCAAAUUUGCUAACCUAUAAAUCAUCUCUGCCUAUAGUUGGUAUGUAUAGUGUAACCACACUUACAUGGUUAAAAGAAUUAUAGCUAUUGAUCAAAUUGUUCAGUUAUGUGUUAUUUUAAAUGUGUUUUUUAUUCAUGUGUUCAUUCAUUAUUUCAUGAUUUCAUUCAUUCAUGAUUGUCAGGGAUUGAUAAUGAGAGUUGUUGAUUCAUUAUAUUUUUUUACUAAUGGAAAAUGAAAAUCACUGUGACUUUGUUAAGCUCUGAGAUAUGCUUCUUUGUACCAAUAUGGAAAAUGUAAAAGAAAAAACCCACACUCAGCACUAUGAAAGUUAUACCAAAAACUGGAGAAAAUGGACUUUACAGAUGUGGGCCCAGACAAUCAGCCUGCUAGAUAAUUUUUGAAAAUCAUGUCAUACAUUAGAGGUUUCCCUGAAUUUUACUGUCAAAAGAUGUGAAGAAGUUUUCAAGAAACCUUUGAAGCCAAAAAACAAGAGUUCUACAAUCAAUGUCAGAGGGAAGAAGAGUUGAAACAGAUUUAUGCAGCGAGUUAAGGAGAAAGAAGCAACAUUUAAAGAAGCUGAAAAAGAGAUCAGUACUGACAGUUUGAUAUAAUUUGCAUUAAUUUUUAGGUGCCCUAUUAAUUUGGGGGUUUUAAUCUCAAGAGUUUAGUUGAUGUUUUUGGAGGAUAUUUGCUAUUUUUCCAAAAGUAGCUUUUUACCAUGUAGAUUUGAAGAUAGCCUUUACAAAAUUGUAGUCUGUAAUGUUUUUUCUAGAGAACUUAGAUAAUUUUCCAUUUAAAUAACCCUUAAGAUAAUUUUAUAAAAAUUUAUUUAUUUUAUUUACAAUUUAAAUUUUCAUGCAUAAAGUUUAAUUUGUGACAAACCCAAGCUAUUUAUUUUGAGAAGAGUCUUGUACUAUCUAAUGCUAUUAAUGCACUAGAAGAUUAUCUUCACUUUUAUAAAUAAGCAAAUGUUGACUAGUGCUGGCCUUGAUUAAUGAGAAAAUUUUAAGUUGGUAAAUUAUGUAAAUUAUUUAUUUAUUUUAUUCCAUGCCAUUUCUAAUAAAAUGGAAAAAAAGGCUAUUAAUAUAGUUUUAAUUAUUUGCCACAAAUAUGUUUUUGGUGAAGACAUAUUUUUGAAACCAUGAUUUCUUUCUCUCAAGUGUAGGUGGCUUUAGUUUAAGAACAUUUAGUCUUAUUAGGUAAAUUGGAACAUGAACUUCCUUUUUCAUAAAAAUAAAAUGGUAAUUAGGUGCUAGAGGCCAGAUGUCUCACUUAAAGACAGUUGAAUUAUAAGUAAUAAAAAUUUUGGCUGGGUAUAGUGGCUCAGCCUGUAAUUCCCGCACUUUGGGACAUGGAGGCAGGCAGAUCACCUAAGGUCAGGAGUUUUAGAUGAGCCUGGCCAACAUGGUG